rnacentral:ncRNA from 1 species
UUAAAUGCGAUGAAGGGAAGGAGUAUGCUAUUGUUUUUCUUUCAGAGAGAAGGCGGCAGGUGAAAGCCUUUAGAAAAUGUAGCAGAAGCAGUCCCAAAGCUUCCUGCCGAAAAGAGUAGGCAGAGACGGAGCAGCCGUUACAGCAUUAAGUGACCAUUUUGGUAAUAAGGGUGGUACCGCGGAGAUAGCCUUCGUCCCUAUA